AGCCGUGGCUGACAAAGCAAGUCAGGAAAUGUAUCAACGAAAAAGAGAGAACCUACAAUGUGGCCAAGAGCACUGGGAAAUCAAAUGCUUGGGAAGACUACAAAAAACAAACAGAAGAUAACAAAGAGAGAAAUAAGGAAGGAGAGGAUCAAAUAUGAAGAUGCUGCUCCUCCCUCUGAAUGAAGAUUGAGCUUCACCCCAGACUGCAACUUUCUUCCUUUGUCCAACAUCUGUCCUGUCCCUUCAAUGACUGAGGAACAUCCGCCUCCAGAAUGGUCACCGGCUCCUGCCUGCUGUACAGCCGGCCGGUGUGGCCGUGACACAGCAGCUGCACCAGGAAGGCGGCGGUGACCAGUGACGGGGGUCUGCCCCGGGCCGCACGGCGCCAUUUUCCUAACGGCCGCCGCUUCCCCGCUCGAGCGACUUCUCCUCCCAACCGCCUUCACCCCCGCGUGACGUCUGCACGGGGGGGAUGGGCGGGGCCGGGGGAGCCUCACCGUCACCAAGCAACAGCCACCUCGCGCUACAACUGCUGCUCCCUGAAGCGGGAAAUCUGCAUUUUAAAGGGACAUGGACAUUUAACGGGCUAUUUCUGCAAAUAGAUUGAAAUGGACAAGAUUACAUUUCAAAGGGAUAUCUUAAUAUGCAAAAUGACGCAGUCAUAUCUAAAUGAAUCUACAUUUCGAAGAGACGUUGCCCUAUUUUAUAGGUAGCUGAAAAUGUGUUGCUGGUAAAAGCACAGCAGGUUAGGCAGCAUCUCAGGAAUAGGGAAUUCGACGUUUCGAGCAUAAGCCCUUCAUCAGGAAUGAGAGAGAGUAAAUGACCCUUUAAGAGACAGUUAUAUCUAAAGGGGUAAAUAUACAUUAUCGAGGGGCAAGAUUGCGCUUAGAGGAACACAACACAUUUAAAAGGCAUAACUACAUUUGAAGGGGCAUUUUUAUAUUUAAAAAGACACAUUGAAAUCUCAUAAUUAAAAGUACAUGGUAAUAUUUAGAAAGCAUGACCAUGUUCGAAAUAGUGCAGCCAGUUUACAAGAAA